UACGUAGGUGACAAGCGUUGUCCGGAUUUACUGGGCGUAAAGAGCGCGCAGGCGGUCGAUCAAGUCGAGUGUGAAAGCCCCCGGCUCAACUGGGGAGGGUCAUUCGAUACUGAUCGACUCGAAGGCAGGAGAGGGUAGUGGAAUUCCCGGUGUAGUGGUGAAAUGCGUAGAUAUCUGGAGGAACACCGGUGGCGAAGGCAGCCUUCUGGGCCAACACUGACGCUCAUGCACGAAAGCGUGGGGAGCAAACAGG
rnacentral:rRNA from 1 species